ACCGAACGCAGGCUAGCUUCGGGGAUCAAGGACAACAAAAAUUCUUUCUUCAGAUAUGUGGGAAGUCAAAAAGAAUAAAGAUAGCAUUGGACCCCUGCAAGGCCAAACUGGG